rnacentral:rRNA from 1 species
AUGAACGCUAGCUACAGGCUUAACACAUGCAAGUCGAGGGGCAGCGGGAUUGAAGCUUGCUUCAAUUGCCGGCGACCGGCGCACGGGUGAGUAACGCGUAUCCAACCUUCCGUACACUCAGGGAUAGCCUUUCGAAAGAAAGAUUAAUACCUGAUGGUAUGAUGAGAUUGCAUGAUAGCAUCAUUAAAGAUUUAUCGGUGUACGAUGGGGAUGCGUUCCAUUAGGUAGUAGGCGGGGUAACGGCCCACCUAGCCUACGAUGGAUAGGGGUUCUGAGAGGAAGGCCCCCCACAUUGGAACUGAGACACGGUCCAAACUCCUACGGGAGGCAGCAGUGAGGAAUAUUGGUCAAUGGACGAGAGUCUGAACCAGCCAAGUAGCGUGAAGGAUGAAGGUCUUACGGAUUGUAAACUUCUUUUAUAAGGGAAUAAACCCUCCCACGUGUGGGAGCUUGUAUGUACCUUAUGAAUAAGCAUCGGCUAACUCCGUG